rnacentral:rRNA from 1 species
CCUACGGGGGACAGCAGUGGGGAAUAUUGGACAAUGGGGGCAACCCUGAUCCAGCCAUGCCGCGUGUGUGAAGAAGGCCCUCGGGUUGUAAAGCACUUUCAGUGAGGAAGAACGCCUGGUGGUUAAUACCCAUCAGGAAAGACAUCACUCACAGAAGAAGCACCGGCUAACUCCGUGCCAGCAGCCGCGGUAAUACGGAGGGUGCGAGCGUUAAUCGGAAUUACUGGGCGUAAAGCGCGCGUAGGUGGCUUGAUAAGCCGGUUGUGAAAGCCCCGGGCUCAACCUGGGAACGGCAUCCGGAACUGGCAAGCUAGAGUGCAGGAGAGGAAGGUAGAAUUCCCGGUGUAGCGGUGAAAUGCGUAGAGAUCGGGAGGAAUACCAGUGGCGAAGGCGGCCUUCUGGACUGACACUGACACUGAGGUGCGAAAGCGUGGGUAGCAAACAGGAUUAGAUACCCUGGUAGUC